UACGUAGGGGGCUAGCGUUGUCCGGAAUCAUUGGGCGUAAAGAGCGUGUAGGCGGUCCGGUAAGUCCGUUGUGAAAGUCAGGGGCUCAACCCUUGAAUGCCGGCGGAUACUGUCGGGCUAGAGUCCGGAAGAGGCGAGUGGAAUUCCCGGUGUAGCGGUGAAAUGCGCAGAUAUCGGGAGGAACACCUAUGGCGAAGGCAGCUCGCUGGGACGGUACUGACGACUGGAGACGCGAAAGCGUGGGGAGCAAACACGG
rnacentral:rRNA from 1 species